UGCUCUCUCCUCCUGUGAUAACGCAGAGAUGCCAUUGGGUCGAGAGCUGCUUUUUAGAGUUGCUGCAGCUGUUGCAGACCUCCAUGUCACUGAAGUAAGGCAGAGGUAUGUGGUAACUAGGAGCCAUGAAGUCCACAUCUCAAGCCCUGCUGUGCACUAUGGGAGUGGACUCUGAUUUGCAUGCUGUGCAUUGUGUUUUGGAUAUGUGGCAUGCUCCCCUCAAUAUUUUUUAAAAAAUAGAUUGUUGUCUUAUCUA
ensembl:misc_RNA predicted gene, 27542